CCACGGGUGAGUAACACGUAUCCAACCUGCCGUCUACUCUUGGCCAGCCUUCUGAAAGGAAGAUUAAUCCAGGAUGGCAUCAUGAGUUCACAUGUCCGCAUGAUUAAAGGUAUUUUCCGGUAGACGAUGGGGAUGCGUUCCAUUAGAUAGUAGGCGGGGUAACGGCCCACCUAGUCUACGAUGGAUAGGGGUUCUGAGAGGAAGGUCCCCCACAUUGGAACUGAGACACGGUCCAA
rnacentral:rRNA from 1 species